rnacentral:tRNA from 1 species
GGGUCCAUAGCUCAGAUGGUAGAGCAGCUGGCUUUUAACCGGGUGGUCGUGGGUUCAAAUCCCACUGGGCCCA